AUGCCAGCCACAGUACCUGCCACCUACUAAACCUGAAGUUUGGAAAGCCCUAGAGAAAGGAUCAAUCUUUAGAUAGAUAGGUCCUAAUUUGCUGUUGAUUUCCCUUUACUGUGCUUGUUUGGCAUAACUGCUGCAGAGGUACUUACAUUGAUCCAGUCACAACUGCCUUUAGACAGAGAAAUAAGCAGCAGAAGGAGUGGAACUUCUGAGAAAUGCACCUUCUGCUUUUGUUCAGCUGUUCCUGCCUCUUUCUCAGGAAAACUGAAGAUCAGAGGCUGAGGGGGAAUCCUGAACCAGGAGAAGAUAAAGAAACUCACCUCACUCUUUGUAAGGUUGGAAGGGGCAGCAGGAGAUUGUCUAGUCCUAUCUCCUGUCCAAAGCAGGAUCAACUACAGCAGGCUUCUCUGGACCAUGAUCAGUUGGGUGGUAAAUAUCUCCAAAGAUGCAGACUUCAAAUGUCUCCAUGCAGUUUGUUCCG